GGGGGAGGGUGGUCGGCCCCGAGUCUCCCACCUCUUCAUAUGUAAAAUGUACGGCUAUUUUUUUUUAUUCGUGUAGUGGGUGGAGGGGGUAGUUUGCCCACUCUAUCCCGGUUAACUGCUACCGACUGACAGGCGGGGAACCGCGGAGAUAGACAAAGAGAAGCCGAGGACUCUGGGGUCUUCAGGAGGGGGUCGCGCAAGCCGGCGAGCCGAUGAUUUAGAAAAAAAAAGGCGCCUUUUCCCUGGAUUUUUAACUCUGUGUGUUGGGGGAGGGUCUCGGCCUUCGUGCCCCGGCUCAGGGAGACUCCCUCGCCUCCGGGAAUCCAGGAUCGAGGGGCCCUGCGAGAGCGGGACCCGGAGGAUGGGAACGGGGAAUCGCGGUUGGGAACGAGGGAUCCGCAGGAAAUCAGAGUCUGAGCUCACUCCGACUUGUGCGCACCGCUCUUCUGCCUGCCGGUUUUAUACCGUUCGAAAGUCGGGAGUUCCAGGCGGCACGCCGCACCUUUGUCCCCCUCCCGGUUUUCCUCGCGCGUUGGAGAGAGAUGGGGCUUGGCGUGGGUGCGGGGGAGGGCUCCCAACUCGGUUUCUCGGUCUCCACCACCUUCAAACCCGACCCUCCAAAUUCGCGUUUUGUUCUAGCCAGCCACGUGUUUGUCUCGUUUUUGUUUUGGCGAUUUUUUUUUUCUCUCCAUGGGGCAAGAUAAAAUACUAUAAGCAAUUA